UACCCGCGGCCCGAGUGGUGCUCAUUUUUAUUGAGCCUAAAGCGUCCGUAGCUGGCCGGGCAAAUCUCCGGGUAAAUCGGGCGGCUCAACCGCCCGAAUUCCGGAGACACUGCUCGGCUUGAGAUCGGGAGAGGGAGAAGGUACUCCCUGGGUAGGGGUAAAAUCCUGUAAUCCGGGGGGGACCACCAGUGGCGAAGGCGUUCUCCUAGAACGAAUCUGACAGUGAGGGACGAAGCCCUAGGGCGCAAACGGG
rnacentral:rRNA from 1 species